rfam:Schistosoma haematobium scaffold3819_3, whole genome shotgun sequence.
GUACGGCUGAUGAGUCCCGAAUAGGACGAAAUACGCGUCCUGGAU